AUGGUCACCGCCGUCAUGCCCGCCGCUGCGUCUCCCACCGUCAACGUUGCAAGUGUCCGCACCCAUGUCCCCGUGACACUGGACCUCCACGCCUCCAACUUCACCAAGUGGAGGAUGCUCAUCCGCGUGCAUCUUCGCAAGUACGAUCUGCUCUCCCUUGUCAACACUGCCACUGCCGAGGCGGACCGCACCACCGACUGGGUUCGUGAGGACUAUAUUGUCCGCUCGUGGCUCUAUGGUUCAAUCUCGGACGAAAUCCUCGACAUAAUCGUGGUGGAGGAACAGACGGCGCAAGAAGCUUGGACACUCAUCACCAACCUGUUUCUUGACAAUCAGAUGACGCGCGCCGUUUAUCUUGAGGCGGAGUUCCGGGGCCUCGUCCAGGGCGAUCUCUCCAUCACCGCUUACUGUCACCAUUUGAAGGCGCUCUCCGAUGCUCUCAGCGACAUUGGCACCCCCAUCUCCGACCAGACACUUGUCCUCAAUUGCCUUCGUGGUCUCAGUCCGCGCUUUUCGGACAUCACGACGAUUGUCACCGUGCAGAACCCCCUUCCCUCAUUCAGCCAGACGAGAUUGCUACUGACCCUCCGCAAGACCCAGCUCGCGAAUUCCGUCGCGAUUGGGCACCAGACGGCGCUCUAUGGGGGUGCGCCUCCCCAUGGCGCAAUGGCUCCACCUCCUCUG
rnacentral:rRNA from 1 species